GGGUUGUGAGGUUAAGCGACUAAGCGUACACGGUGGAUGCCCUGGCAGUCAGAGGCGAUGAAGGACGUGCUAAUCUGCGAUAAGCGUCGGUAAGGUGAUAUGAACCGUUAUAACCGGCGAUUUCCGAAUGGGGAAACCCAGUGUGAUUCGUCACACUAUCAUUAACUGAAUCCAUAGGUUAAUGAGGCGAACCGGGGGAACUGAAACAUCUAAGUACCCCGAGGAAAAGAAAUCAACCGAGAUUCCCCCAGUAGCGGCGAGCGAACGGGGAGCAGCCCAGAGCCUGAAUCAGUGUGUGUGUUAGUGGAAGCGUCUGGAAAGGCGUGCGAUACAGGGUGACAGCCCCGUACACAAAAAUGCACAUACUGUGAGCUCGAUGAGUAGGGCGGGACACGUGGUAUCCUGUCUGAAUAUGGGGGGACCAUCCUCCAAGGCUAAAUACUCCUGACUGACCGAUAGUGAACCAGUACCGUGAGGGAAAGGCGAAAAGAACCCCGGCGAGGGGAGUGAAAAAGAACCUGAAACCGUGUACGUACAAGCAGUGGGAGCACGCUUAGGCGUGUGACUGCGUACCUUUUGUAUAAUGGGUCAGCGACUUAUAUUCUGUAGCAAGGUUAACCGAAUAGGGGAGCCGAAGGGAAACCGAGUCUUAACUGGGCGUUAAGUUGCAGGGUAUAGACCCGAAACCCGGUGAUCUAGCCAUGGGCAGGUUGAAGGUUGGGUAACACUAACUGGAGGACCGAACCGACUAAUGUUGAAAAAUUAGCGGAUGACUUGUGGCUGGGGGUGAAAGGCCAAUCAAACCGGGAGAUAGCUGGUUCUCCCCGAAAGCUAUUUAGGUAGCGCCUCGUGAAUUCAUCUCCGGGGGUAGAGCACUGUUUCGGCAAGGGGGUCAUCCCGACUUACCAACCCGAUGCAAACUGCGAAUACCGGAGAAUGUUAUCACGGGAGACACACGGCGGGUGCUAACGUCCGUCGUGAAGAGGGAAACAACCCAGACCGCCAGCUAAGGUCCCAAAGUCAUGGUUAAGUGGGAAACGAUGUGGGAAGGCCCAGACAGCCAGGAUGUUGGCUUAGAAGCAGCCAUCAUUUAAAGAAAGCGUAAUAGCUCACUGGUCGAGUCGGCCUGCGCGGAAGAUGUAACGGGGCUAAACCAUGCACCGAAGCUGCGGCAGCGACGCUUAUGCGUUGUUGGGUAGGGGAGCGUUCUGUAAGCCUGUGAAGGUGUGCUGUGAGGUAUGCUGGAGGUAUCAGAAGUGCGAAUGCUGACAUAAGUAACGAUAAAGCGGGUGAAAAGCCCGCUCGCCGGAAGACCAAGGGUUCCUGUCCAACGUUAAUCGGGGCAGGGUGAGUCGACCCCUAAGGCGAGGCCGAAAGGCGUAGUCGAUGGGAAACAGGUUAAUAUUCCUGUACUUGGUGUUACUGCGAAGGGGGGACGGAGAAGGCUAUGUUGGCCGGGCGACGGUUGUCCCGGUUUAAGCGUGUAGGCUGGUUUUCCAGGCAAAUCCGGAAAAUCAAGGCCGAGGCGUGAUGACGAGGCACUACGGUGCUGAAGCAACAAAUGCCCUGCUUCCAGGAAAAGCCUCUAAGCAUCAGGUAACAUCAAAUCGUACCCCAAACCGACACAGGUGGUCAGGUAGAGAAUACCAAGGCGCUUGAGAGAACUCGGGUGAAGGAACUAGGCAAAAUGGUGCCGUAACUUCGGGAGAAGGCACGCUGAUACGUAGGUGAAGCGACUUGCUCGUGGAGCUGAAAUCAGUCGAAGAUACCAGCUGGCUGCAACUGUUUAUUAAAAACACAGCACUGUGCAAACACGAAAGUGGACGUAUACGGUGUGACGCCUGCCCGGUGCCGGAAGGUUAAUUGAUGGGGUUAGCGCAAGCGAAGCUCUUGAUCGAAGCCCCGGUAAACGGCGGCCGUAACUAUAACGGUCCUAAGGUAGCGAAAUUCCUUGUCGGGUAAGUUCCGACCUGCACGAAUGGCGUAAUGAUGGCCAGGCUGUCUCCACCCGAGACUCAGUGAAAUUGAACUCGCUGUGAAGAUGCAGUGUACCCGCGGCAAGACGGAAAGACCCCGUGAACCUUUACUAUAGCUUGACACUGAACAUUGAGCCUUGAUGUGUAGGAUAGGUGGGAGGCUUUGAAGUGUGGACGCCAGUCUGCAUGGAGCCGACCUUGAAAUACCACCCUUUAAUGUUUGAUGUUCUAACGUGGACCCGUGAUCCGGGUUGCGGACAGUGUCUGGUGGGUAGUUUGACUGGGGCGGUCUCCUCCUAAAGAGUAACGGAGGAGCACGAAGGUUGGCUAAUCCUGGUCGGACAUCAGGAGGUUAGUGCAAUGGCAUAAGCCAGCUUGACUGCGAGCGUGACGGCGCGAGCAGGUGCGAAAGCAGGUCAUAGUGAUCCGGUGGUUCUGAAUGGAAGGGCCAUCGCUCAACGGAUAAAAGGUACUCCGGGGAUAACAGGCUGAUACCGCCCAAGAGUUCAUAUCGACGGCGGUGUUUGGCACCUCGAUGUCGGCUCAUCACAUCCUGGGGCUGAAGUAGGUCCCAAGGGUAUGGCUGUUCGCCAUUUAAAGUGGUACGCGAGCUGGGUUUAGAACGUCGUGAGACAGUUCGGUCCCUAUCUGCCGUGGGCGCUGGAGAACUGAGGGGGCUGCUCCUAGUACGAGAGGACCGGAGUGGACGCAUCACUGGUGUUCGGGUUGUCAUGCCAAUGGCACUGCCCGGUAGCUAAAUGCGGAAGAGAUAAGUGCUGAAAGCAUCUAAGCACGAAACUUGCCCCGAGAUGAGUUCUCCCUGACCCUUUAAGGGUCCUGAAGGAACGUUGAAGACGACGACGUUGAUAGGCCGGGUGUGUAAGCGCAGCGAUGCGUUGAGCUAACCGGUACUAAUGAACCGUGAGGCUUAACCUUACAACGCCGAAG
rnacentral:rRNA from 2 species